UGGUGGUUUUUGUGUGGUCCCUAAAAAGAGCUAGAGCUGGUGGUUUGUGUGUGUGUUUUUUAUGGGUUUUGUUUGAAUUUGAAGGUUCCAUGGUUUUACUGUGAAUGGUCUUUUAUUUUGGAGUUAAGGCUUUUGACUUUCCUCUUUAACCACGGCUAGGAGCCACACCUUGGAUGGGAACUUUCUACUCAUACUCUCUCGUUGGUUCAGGCAGGCUGAGGCGGCGUUUUCGUCGACCACCGAAAUGGCGGUGGUGAAGGAAUCUGGUGGAUGUGAGUCGUAAUUUGACCUACUUUUCACAUCUGAUGUUCCAAUGAUUAUUCUUCUUCAUAUAAUUCAUUUGUGAAGACGUAGAAGAUGGUUCCAACGAUUUACGUACAAGCAACAAGGGAAAGACGCUAUUUCAUUAAACAAUGUAUUUUUUAUGUCACUUAUGAAGGGGCUGUUGAUAUAUACAAGAUCCAAGAUCCAGUCCAACGGCAUGCGGUUGAAGAUCAAGUUGCUUACUUUGGACAAACACCGUCACGUCUUUUGACAGUCCCUCAUAUUAGCAAAAUUGUGAAUGGGAAGUAUACUUUUAUGAAGCUCAGUUAGGUAACCUUCUAUUGUUCUGUAUUGAACAGUUUUGUUUUUUAUUUGAGAUUCGGUGAAUAGUAUGAGAAAAAAGAAUUGAAUUUGUUGUUCAUGUGUUAUUGUUUGUGAAAUUAAGCAUGUUUUCUUGAUUCCAGUUUUGGUACUAGCCAUGAUCACAACUUGCAAUUUUAGUACUUUAGCAUUUUAACUCAUUAUAUUAAAUAUAUACAGUGCUAAUUUAGAUAAUAGGUUGUUACUAUGUUUUACAUUUUUCCAACCAUUAUAUGAAUACUCUACAGUUCGAACUUGCCAUUAUAUUAAAUAUAUGCCGUGCUAAUUUAGAUAAUAGGUUGUUACUAUGUUUUACAAUUUUUGGACCAUUAUAUGAAUAUUCUACAGUUCGAACUUACCAUUCUGGUGUAAAUGGGUUGCUACCUCUAUAAAUGAAUCACUUUUUUUUUCUCAAGUUUGUGGUUAUAUUUAAUUGGGAGUCUCUGGUUUGCAACUUUUAUGUGGACCCAACAGGUAUGUUUACCAAUCUCUUGGCUUCAUUUAUCCAUUAUUUUGAUUUGAUGUGUGUCGUUUAGUUGCUACCAAAGUAAUAUGCCAUAUUCAUACUACAUUUGUAUGAAGGAAACCUCUUUACUCCUAUUGCGGUCAAGACGUGGGAGCUUCAGUUUUAACACCAUAAGAGUUUCUUAUAUUUAGGGCACAUGAUGUGGAAUAUGGUGUAUGAAAUGCACAUAUGGGUUGUAAGAAAUAAGCA